UACGUAGGGGGCAAGCGUUGUCCGGAUUUAUUGGGCGUAAAGAGCGUGUAGGCGGCUUUACAGGUCCGUUGUGAAAACUCGAGGCUCAACCUCGAGACGCCGGUGGAAACCGUAAAGCUAGAGUCCGGAAGAGGAGAGUGGAAUUCCUGGUGUAGCGGUGAAAUGCGCAGAUAUCAGGAGGAACACCUAUAGCGAAGGCAGCUUGCUGGGACGUUACUGACGCUAAGGCGCGAAAGCGUGGGGAGCGAACAGG
rnacentral:rRNA from 1 species